rnacentral:lncRNA from 1 species
AAACUAUUUAUUAUUUCGGCCAAUCAAAUCCCGGUCUGAGCUGCGACUCGUAGUUGCUUCAGAUGCGCGUUAUUGAUGGACACGGAGAGGCCAGAUGGAGCACACGCCAAAACACACUGGAAUUGGGAGCAGCAUUUUGGUUUUGGGAUGUAUUUGGACAAUAUGAAGAGAAGAACAUUGACGCAAGGACACGGUGACAUGAGGGUUACACCAGAAGUCCACUGCUCGAGCCUGAGCUUCAGGAAAAUGAGAGGACAGCACUCCAAUCAGCAACAGCAGAAACCCUACAGUAAAGCACACACAGUGGAGGAGAAACUGACAACUGCACAGACUCCUCGAGGUGUGCGCUCCCUGGACACUUCUCGUGGCUGGUGGUUGGAAAGACGAGGCUUUCAUUUUUCGUGCGUGUACGACGGAGCGGUGGAGCCCGUCUACAGCGUACCCCCCGGGAUCAAAACCAUCGGACUGUUCCUCAACACCAACGGAGGCGCGUUGAGUUUCUACAACGCCCUGUCCCAGGAGCACCUGGCCACGUUACCCACCCGGUUCGGCCCGGGGGGACUGGUGCCGGCGUUCGGUUUGGGACAGGGCAGGCUGAAGAUGCGCUCCGGCCUCCCCCCGCCGCCUCUGGUCUUCCACAGUAAGGACUCCAGAUACAGCGGGACACGGAGCUCAGAGGGGGCGGUGUGGCGGAGGGGGGUAGCCUUCGGGUCGGUUCGGAAGGUGGUGGAGAAGUUUGAGGGGCUGGCUUUGUCGCGGUGACGUUUGGAGUAUUUAGUAUACUGUCCUGUUAUCUUGAUGAAGGGGUGUCCAGGACGGUCCUACCAGCGGCUCUCUAUGUGCCCAGUGUGAGUCUGUGAGUCAUAAAAACAUUGUUCACAGUCUGCAAACAAUCUGGUCAAUAAAGAAAGUAUAGAACAUUUAGAUCAAAUUUAGUACCCAUUUAGUUCUGUACUUAGUUAGUUUCUUCACCUUCCCAGUAAACGUUUUGUUUCAAAUUGCUUGUGGUUCGAAAGGUUCUGUGUAAACAAACAAAAAAGUGGUUCUUGUAGUAAUUAAUUAAAAAAGGGAACAAAGAAACCAAAAAUAUUUUCCAAUUGUAGAUCCAGAAAAUCACUAGGCAGUCCCACCACAACAACAACAACAACAAAAUACUCGACUGAUGGGAUUAAUAAAGAAUAUAAAUCUGCUUUAUAGUUUUCCUUCAUAGUUCUUGAAAAAGAUGAAUGCAGCUGGCUACAAGCCUGUAGGCAUCACUACCCUGGAAGAUCAUAAAGGUUUCCAUCUCAUAACAACUCCCGAAUAAGAUUAAAUGUUUAUCAGUGUUUCUUUUUUCCAUUCUGAAAUGGAAAUAAUGACUAAUUUUCCCCCCCGCAACAUUUAGUUCAUUUCAAUAAAACGCCUUUUGUACACUCCACUAUCCUUAAAGGGAUAUUUCAGGAUUUUUGACACAGGGCCUCAUUUCCUAGUUAUCCAGAGUGUUGUUAAUGUCUGGAGAUAUUUUUUUCUUUAAUUCAUGUUCUUAUAUUUGAAGAGUCUAGUGGCGCUAGGCUAGGGCAAGGCUAAAGCAUUUCUAUGGUAUCAGUUAGCCUGCAUUAAAAACAGUCAGGCGCACUCCAGAGUGCACCUGAGGUAAAUCACUUAUAACGUAUAACUGACCUUGUAACACAUGAAUUACCGCAUUAUGAAGGACUAUUUUCUCGCAGAUCACUCCGCCGCUGCGUUAGCUUACAGCCACGAAGCUGAUGCUGCUCAAAUAUAAGUUAUGUUAAAUGCAAAAUGGUUAAAAUGAUUCUAUCGACACAGACAUUUAUAUUGUUAGUGAUUAUAAGUGAUUUGCCUCAGGUGCACUGUGGAGUGGGUCAGACUGUUUUUAAUGCAGGCUAACUGAUACCAUAGAAAUGCUUUAG